rnacentral:misc_RNA from 1 species
AAAGUCGUAACAAGGUUUCCGUAGGUGAACCUGCGGAAGGAUCAUUAACAGUUACAUGGUCAUGCGUCAAGCAUACACUGUACCAAAACCCAUUCCGAGUACCUUUGCCUGUUGCUUCCGUGGGGCACGACUCCGGUCGCUCUGGGGAUAUUAUAUCCCGAGGGAGUCCCUGCGGGAGGUAACCGUUCAAACCCUUGAACUCCAAUGCCUUCUGUCUGAUGUUGUUUAUAGCAAACGUUAAAACUUUCAACAACGGAUCUCUUGGUUCUC